rnacentral:rRNA from 1 species
CACGUAGGCGGAUUGCUAAGUCAGGGGUGAAAUCCUGGAGCUCAACUCCAGAACUGCCUUUGAUACUGGCGAUCUCGAGUCCGGGAGAGGUGAGUGGAACUGCGAGUGUAGAGGUGAAAUUCGUAGAUAUUCGCAAGAACACCAGUGGCGAAGGCGGCUCACUGGCCCGGUACUGACGCUGAGGUGCGAAAGCGUGGGAGCAAACA